rnacentral:rRNA from 1 species
UACGUAGGAUCCAAGCGUUGUCCAGAUUUACUGGGUGUAAAGGGUGCGCAGGCGGACUUGUUAGUCAGAGGUGAAAUCUCACUGCUCAACAGUGAAACUGCCUUUGAUACUGCAGGUCUUGAAUCCAGAAGAGAGUUGUGGAAUUCCGAGUGUAGCAGUGAAAUGUGUAGAUAUUCGGAAGAACACCAGCGGCGAAGGCAGCAACUUGGUCUGGUAUUGACGCUCAGGCACGAAAGCAUGGGGAUCAAACAGG